rnacentral:rRNA from 1 species
GAUGAACGCUGGCGGCGUGCCUAAUACAUGCGAGUCGAGCGAACAGACGAGGAGCUUGCUCCUCUGACGUUAGCGGCGGACGGGUGAGUAACACGUGGAUAACCUACCUAUAAGACUGGGAUAACUUCGGGAAACCGGAGCUAAUACCGGAUAAUAUAUUGAACCGCAUGGUUCAAUAGUGAAAGACGGUUUUGCUGUCACUUAUAGAUGGAUCCGCGCCGCAUUAGCUAGUUGGUAAGGUAACGGCUUACCAAGGCUACGAUGCGUAGCCGACCUGAGAGGGUGAUCGGCCACACUGGAACUGAGACACGGUCCAGACUCCUACGGGAGGCAGCAGUAGGGAAUCUUCCGCAAUGGGCGAAAGCUUGACGGAGCAACGCCGCGUGAGUGAUGAAGGUCUUCGGAUCGUAAAACUCUGUUAUUAGGGAAGAACAAAUGUGUAAGUAACUAUGCACGUCUUGACGGUACCUAAUCAGAAAGCCACGGCUAACUACGUG